rnacentral:rRNA from 1 species
UCCGUAGGCGGAUGUGUAAGUCAGUGGUGAAAUCUCACAGCUUAACUGUGAAACUGCCAUUGAUACUGCAUGUCUUGAGUAAGGUAGAAGUGGCUGGAAUAAGUAGUGUAGCGGUGAAAUGCAUAGAUAUUACUUAGAACACCAAUUGCGAAGGCAGGUCACUAUGUCUUAACUGACGCUGAUGGACGAAAGCGUGGGGAGCGAACAGGAUUAGAUACCCGUGUA